AUUUAUAUAAAAGAUGGUUGUUUCUCUCCUCUCGACACAUCAGCCGCCACCUCACAAAUUCGUUGCAUGGCGUGCUGACACGUGUUCAAUUAAUGAAACGCUGCGUACGGGCUUCUCUUGGGCUUUCACUCUCGCUUCGUUUUGCAGCCCAGGGACCACGUAACUUUACACGAACCCUAACCCGUGGUGAUUCGUGUUCUUCGUUUCACUUCGAUCGGCUGAGACGGCGACGAUCCAGAUUCUAAUCCGUUUCUGUAACUGAAAUCGUUGUGUUUUCUACGCCUUUACUCUCAUUAUAAUCAUUAAAACUACCCAUAUCCACGAUCUCUCUUUCUCCUCCGCCAUGUCCCGUCGUCAAUUUGGCACAAUUUUCCGGUGAAGUCUUCAUCCCCGUUGCAGUUCCCGGUGACUUCUCCUGCUGUUUGUUUGCUUAGGCGGAAGCCGCAUCUGAUUCUUUCCGGUGAAAAAGAUGAUUUCAGUCCCUUUAGUUAUGCUUGAAGACAGUGUCAACAAGCUCAAAAGUCUCAACACUUGGUAGACGCAGAAAUAAAGCUAAGGCCCAUAUGAUAUUGGCAUUUGAUUCUCCAUCUGAUUGGGUAUUUCAAUCUUACGGAUUUGUUUUAUAUCCGGUCUAGAGCAUAAUCUCAUGAUUUUCCUGUUUGAUGUUUUUUUUUAUGCUUCUUUUGGAUUGCAAUUGCGCAUGUGGUCAUCUACCAUGUUUCAGCUUCACUUUCUGUUCAAAAAAAUUAUACCCACUUGCGCAUAACAAGAGAGAAGUAUAAGUCUGAAGGAUGAACAAGCACUAGACUAUUUCUCACCUCAGAUUGAUUAACCAAAGGAUUAAGGGCGAGUCUGUGUAUUUGGCCGAGGUUCUCCAAAUUUCUCUGAUGAGUGGAAGGUGUAAGAGUUCAUCACAGGAUUAUUGGAAGUACGAGGAUAUGAGACAUAUGUGGAAUCUGAUAUUUUUUUUUCAAUGGACAGGCAUACAAAACAAAGAAAUGUUGCAAGUAUCGAUCUGGCAUAAGAAGAAACCUGAUAUAGACGAGUUAGAGAGCAUCGCGAAGCUAAAGCUAGCAGAGGCUUCCAGCUUAAAGCUAACAAAGCAUAACGGGAGGCUGAGAUGUUGUAAAGAAUGUACUACGGAAAUGGACAAGUUUGAGGAGGAAUGCGCAAGUAACUAUCUGAAACAGAGGUUGACCAAACUGAGGCAGAGAAGCAGUGUAUGUUUCAGAAGGUUGAGCUGAAGGAAAAUUCAAGGAUUGCAUCACAAUGCAGUGGUGGUGGAGGAGACCUGUCACAUGUUCUUGAUGUACUCAAAGAUCUGCGAUCUACUUCAUGGUAACAAUCUCUCGCUUAAGGUAGAUCCUCAAUCAAAAGAGCACCGUCCUUUCAUAUCCAAACCUUGAUGAUUCCCUUAUAGAUAGAUGUGCAGAUUUCAUAUCCUAAAAGGCUAAAACUCAUAUCUUUGUGUUUCUGAAUUGAGCAUUUAUUUUGUUAAAAUAAAAGUGAAACGAGUGUUUUAUACUCUUAAUCUAAAUUUGUUCUGAAGACUGCGCAGUACAUAGAUAAAAAUAAUAAAAUUGUGUUCUAAGGUU